rnacentral:lncRNA from 1 species
CCCCACCUCAGCUCUAAAGGAAUGAGAGCCAGGCUCCUGGGGAGGGCAGUUCCGCUUCCUGUGUGGCAGCAGAUGACAAAAUCCCUUGACAAGAAGGGCCCAGCCUCUGAGUGUCCACACCCUGUGUGUCUCUGUCCUGCCAGCACCGAGGGCUCAUCCAUCCGCAGAGCAGGGCAGUGGGAGGAGAUGCCAUGACCCCAUACUCAUGCUCCUGGUCUGUCUCGGGCUGAGUCUGGGCCCCAGGACCCACGUGCAGGCAGGGACCCUUCCCAAGCCCACUCUCUGGGCUGAGGCGGGGUCUAUGAUCAGCCAGGGGAGUCCUGUGACCCUCAGGUGUCAGGGAAGCCUUCAGGCUCAGGAGUAUCGUCUAUACAGGGAAAAAAACCCAGCAUCCUGGGUUAGAUGGAUACAACAAGAGCUUGUGAAGAAGGGCUAUUUCCCCAUUGCAUCCAUCACCUGGGAGCACGCAGGGCGGUAUCGCUGUUGGUAUUACAGCCGCACUCACUCAUCAGAGCACAGCGACCCCUGGAGCUGGUGGUGACAGGUGAGGGGACACUCAGGGGUCCCAGCCCCAGGCUCUGUCCUCAGGAAGGGGUCGGCUCUCGGGGCGUCUCCCUCUCACAGCCCAGCCCUGGGGAUGAUGCGGGAGGUGUGAGUCCCAUUUAACAUGGUGCCUCCUUCUCUCUUAGGAGCCUACAGCAAACCCACCCUCUCAGCCCUGCUCAGCCCUGUGGUGACGUCAGGAAGAAGAGUGACCCUCCAGUGUGUCUCACAGGUGGCACAUGACAGCUUCUUUUGUGUAAGGAAGGAGAAGAUGAACACCCCAAUGCCUGAACUCU